UACGAACUGUGCAAACGUUAUUCGGAAUCACUGGGCUUAAAGGGUGCGUAGGCGGCUGUCUAAGUAGGGUGUGAAAGCCCCCGGCUCAACUGGGGAAUUGCGCCCUAAACUGGAUGGCUGGAGUGAGACAGGGGUGUGUGGAACUUCCGGUGGAGCGGUGAAAUGUGUUGAUAUCGGAAGGAACGCCGGUGGCGAAAGCGACACACUGGGUCUCAACUGACGCUGAGGCACGAAAGCCAGGGGAGCAAACGGG
rnacentral:rRNA from 1 species